rnacentral:rRNA from 1 species
GAUGAACGCUGGCGGCGUGCCUAAUACAUGCAAGUCGAGCGAACAGACGAGGAGCUUGCUCCUCUGACGUUAGCGGCGGACGGGUGAGUAACACGUGGAUAAUCGACCUAUAAGUCUGGGAUAACUUCGGGAAACCGGAGCUAAUACCGGAUAAUAUAUUGAACCGCAUGGUUCAAUAGUGAAAGACGGUUUUGCUGUCACUUAUAGAUGGAUCCGCGCCGCAUUAGCUAGUUGGUAAGGUAACGGCUUUCCAAGGCAACGAUGCGUAGCCGACCUGAGAGGGUGAUCGGCCACACUGGAACUGAGACACGGUCCAGACUCCUACGGGAGGCAGCAGUAGGGAAUCUUCCGCAAUGGGCGAAAGCCUGACGGAGCAACGCCGCGUGAGUGAUGAAGGUCUUCGGAUCGUAAAACUCCGUUAUUAGGGAAGAACAAAUGUGUAAGUAACUAUGCACGUCUUGACGGUACCUAAUCAGAAAGCCACGGCUAACUACGUG